rnacentral:rRNA from 1 species
UACGGAGGGGGCUAGCGUUGUUCGGAAUUACUGGGCGUAAAGCGCGCGUAGGCGGACCUGCAAGUCGGGGGUGAAAGCCCAGGGCUCAACCCUGGAAUUGCCUUCGAUACUGUCUGGCUAGAGACCGGAAGAGGUAAGUGGAACUGCGAGUGUAGAGGUGAAAUUCGUAGAUAUUCGCAAGAACACCAGUGGCGAAGGCGGCUUACUGGUCCGGUUCUGACGCUGAGGCGCGAAAGCGUGGGGAGCAAACAGG